rnacentral:rRNA from 1 species
ACUCAAAUGAAUUGACGGGGGCCCGCACAAGCGGUGGAGCAUGUGGUUCAAUUCGACGCAACGCGAAGAACCUUACCUGGGCUCGAAGCGCAGUGGAAGACGGCUGAAAGGCCGUUGCCCGCAAGGGCCGCUGCGGAGGUGCUGCAUGGCUGUCGUCAGCUCGUGUCGUGAGAUGUUGGGUUAAGUCCCGCAACGAGCGCAACCCUUAUCCUUAGUUGCCAUGCCGUAAGGCGGCACUCGAAGGAGACUGUCGGCCACAAGCCGGAGGAAGGUGGGGAUGACGUCAAGUCCUCAUGGCCUUUAUGUCCAGGGCUACACACGUGCUACAAUGGGCGGCACAAAGCGUCGCGAACCCGCGAGGGGGAGCCAAUCGCAAAAAACCGCUCUCAGUUCGGAUUGCAGUCUGCAACUCGACUGCAUGAAGCUGGAAUCGCUAGUAAUCGCGGAUCAGAACGCCGCGGUGAAUACGUUCCCGGGCCUUGUACACACCGCCCGU